CUUUCGACUCCAAAAUUCCAUUGAACUUUUCUAGACUCUCUUCAGCGGCAGAGAUAGCAAGAAACCCUUAAAUUAUUGUGAAGAUAACUUUUCACAAGCUGUUGUGAUAAACCCGUUUUUUGGUGCUUUCAAGGCAACUGGGAAUUUGGGGGGAGAAAUGGUCAAUGACAUCAGUGAUCUUCAGGUCGGAGUUUUAUAAAUAUGCCAGAGUUUCUGACUUUGAAUUCAGAGUUCGAUGACCGUCCAUAACGACUUUUCCCAGUUUGUUUGUUUCCCGAGAUCUUAGCUGUCUUGAGCGCUCGGAAGUCGGAGAUUUCAGUUUCCAGUUUUGAACCCAGCAUUUCUGUUGCGCACUAGCUAUCGAGACGUCAUCACUACAUGCGCUAUUUUAUCUGCCAGAUACUAUAAACGCCCACGUUCUGGAUACGCCAAGCAAAAAGGGGGACUGAUCGAACAGCCAAUGGAAAGGCAAAGGCAAAAUGCCCACCCAGCCGGACUCAGCUAGGGUGUGUGUGGAGAGAUCAGGGUUGUACAACAGGUUUGUUACACAUAGUCGAAUUCAAUAUGUAAAAACUCUUACAAAGGCCUUGAGGCAAGAGCAGUGUGCAGGUUUUUUUCUUUCUCAUGCUAUUCAACUGUUACCAUGCACCUGCAUCAAAGAUAGCUCAGAUAUGUGUGCCUUUUUUAAAUUUGAAUACGUAAAUUCCAAAAUGCUGGUAAUUACAUGUAAGUGUUUUGAAACUGAUGGCGAUUUUUAAAUUGUUUUAUUACUAGGCUAAUGGCUUCUUGGCUAACACUUUAUAAUGGUAACCAAGUCACAUGACCGAUCAUGACCUUUCAUGUACGUAAAUAAGGAAGUGAUUGCAUUUAAUUAGUAAAGAGGGGUCUACAACAUUGUUUUUCUAUGAAAUCACAUUAUUUUAAUUGAAAUAUAUUAUACUGAAUUAACAAAUAGUUUAAAUACGUGUAUCAAUUUAUAUUUAAAUCUAACAUCACUUUCUGUUUUACUUUUAGCUUGCUUUGACAGUUUCCCCACCUCAACCAUGUGAAUUCUCUUCUUUUCCCUUACAGCUUAGACUACAGGGAUCACAGAAACCACACACACACCUAGCAUUUCACUGUAUCCUAUUUCUAACAGUUCAGCAGAAGGCCACCACACCACAUUAGAGUUGGUAAACACAAUACAUUUAUAUUUUCAUUAGCCCAGUAGUCUACUAGUUAAAGUUAAGACAGAGCCUAUGAACAACAGUGAGACUGACUACCACAGAAAGCAGCACUGGACAGCCAUGCAGGCGAAGGAAUGUGGAUUGUCCUACAGGGAAUUCUCUGAAGGAUGAGGAAAGGAUCCUGCAGAUUGUCCUACAGGAAUUGCCCUGAAAAUCUUGUGGAAUUACCUGCAGGAUUAUUACCUACAGGAUAUCUCACAGGAUUUGGGUGCCAUUUUCCUAUAGGACAAUUCCAUCAGUAGUACCUGCAUGAUUCCUAGUGUGUCCUCCAGGAUUCUUGUAUGAAUUUUGUCCUACAGAAAAUUGGCCCUGAAAAUCCUGUGGGAUAUCCUGCAGGACUUCCUAAACCUAUAGGAUAUACUGCAGGAUUUGUGCAGGAUUUUUCAUGCAGGACUCCUGUAGAAGUUUUUUGUAAGGGAUGAUUGGAUGGAAACCAGGUUAGUGGUGAGAUUAUUAUGGAGAGAAGAGCGAGAUUAUUUUUAUUGGUCAAAUGGCAGCCAAGCAUCGAUCAUCAUGUCACCAGAAUAGGACCCUCAAUAUUUAUUGGAAAGGAGCAUCAAGCUCAUCACCUUGCAUUUUCACCACCCUGUGAAGUUCAUCAUUUAUAGCCUAACUGUGGUUUCCUGAGUCGUAGUGGGAGGACCACACACCAUAUCAUCGCGCGACUCCAAGUUAUGUCAAUAUUUGUGCAUAAAGACGUAUCCACCGCCAUUUCUCACGUAAU